rnacentral:rRNA from 1 species
AAAGCGUGCGCAGGCGGUUAUGUAAGACAGAUGUGAAAUCCACGGGCUCAACCUGGGAACUGCAUUAGUGACUGCAUAGCUGGAGUACGGCAGAGGGGGAUGGAAUUCCGCGUGUAGCAGUGAAAUGCGUAGAUAUGCGGAGGAACACCGAUGGCGAAGGCAAUCCCCUGGGCCUGUACUGACGCUCAUGCACGAAAGCGUGGGGAGCAAACAGGAUUAGAUACCCCAGU